AGCCCUCGGAUACAAUGCCAGAUCUGGUUAGGAUAACUAUAGAGCCUAGGGUGCAACUUUAGACCCCAGGUUUGGGGCCAUUGCAUUCUACUAAAAAGACAUCAAAGAUGAAUGAAAAACCAAAGACACACCACAACAGCAAAAGUGGAGUUAUCCACCACCCCAACAAAUUAGGAGUCAUUCACCACCUCAACCAGAAAACAAUAUACAGAUUCACCCAGACCCACAGCAGUGAAAAUUAGAAGAGGAAUUCGUUAACAAGAUUGAGGAAACGAGGAGAAUGGACAUGAAAGUGCGUCCACAACUGACCAAAUUAAAGGAGAAAAAGUUCAAAAGUAUACUACAGAAAGUUAACCUGGGAUUGGCCAGACUGGUCCCAGAAGGAACCACACUGACAGAUUAAAACUAUGUAAAUUAUGGAGCAACAACUUUCAUACAGAG